rnacentral:rRNA from 1 species
GGCGUACGGGUGCGGAACACGUGUGCAACCUGCCUUUAUCAGGGGGAUAGCCUUUCGAAAGGAAGAUUAAUACCCCAUAAUAUAAUGAGUGGCAUCACUUAUUAUUGAAAACUCCGGUGGAUAGAGAUGGGCACGCGCAAGAUUAGAUAGUUGGUAGGGUAACGGCCUACCAAGUCAGUGAUCUUUAGGGGGCCUGAGAGGGUGAUCCCCCACACUGGUACUGAGACACGGACCAGACUCCUACGGGAGGCAGCAGUGAGGAAUAUUGGACAAUGGGUGAGAGCCUGAUCCAGCCAUCCCGCGUGAAGGACGACGGCCCUAUGGGUUGUAAACUUCUUUUGUAUAGGGAUAAACCUUUCCACGUGUGGAAAGCUGAAGGUACUAUACGAAUAAGCACCGGCUAACUCCGUGCCAGCAGCCGCGGUAAUACGGAGGGUGCAAGCGUUAUCCGGAUUUAUUGGGUUUAAAGGGUCCGUAGGCGGAUCUGUAAGUCAGUGGUGAAAUCUCAUAGCUUAACUAUGAAACUGCCAUUGAUACUGCAGGUCUUGAGUAAAGUAGAAGUGGCUGGAAUAAGUAGUGUAGCGGUGAAAUGCAUAGAUAUUACUUAGAACACCAAUUGCGAAGGCAGGUCACUAUGUUUUAACUGACGCUGAUGGACGAAAGCGUGGGGAGCGAACAGGAUUAGAUACCCUGGUAGUCCACGCCGUAAACGAUGCUAACUCGUUUUUGGGUUUUCGGAUUCAGAGACUAAGCGAAAGUGAUAAGUUAGCCACC